GACGAACGCUGGCGGCGUGCCUAAUACAUGCAAGUAGAACGCAGUUGCGAACGGGUGAGUAACGCGUAGGUAACUGCCUGGUAGCGGGGGAUAACUAUUGGAAACGAUAGCUAAUACCGCAUACUACCAGCUGGACCUGCGUUUUAUUAGCUAGUUGGUGCGGUAACGGCUCACCAAGGCAAGCAUACAUAGCCGACCUUAGAGGGUGUUCGGCCAAACUGGGACUUAGACACGGCCCAGACUCCUACGGGCUGCAGCAGUAGGGAAGCUUCGGCAAUGGGGGGAACCCUGACCGAGCAACGCCGCGUGAGUGAAGAAGGUUUUCGGAUCGGAAAGCUCUGUUGUUAAGGAAGAGGUACUUAACCAGAAAGGGACGGCUAACUACGUGCCAGCAGCCGCGGUAAUAC
rnacentral:rRNA from 1 species